AGAGUUUGAUCCUUUCUCAGAUUGAACGCUGGCGGCAUGCCUUACACAUGCAAGUCGAACGGCAGCACGGGGGCUUGCUCCUGGUGGCGAGUGGCGAACGGGUGAGUAAUAUAUCGGAACGUACCCUAGAGUGGGGGAUAACGCAGCGAAAGUUGCGCUAAUACCGCAUACGAUCUACGGAUGAAAGUGGGGGAUCGCAAGACCUCAUGCUCAUGGAGCGGCCGAUAUCUGAUUAGCUAGUUGGUGGGGUAAAGGCCUACCAAGGCAUCAAUCAGUAGCUGGUCUGAGAGGACGACCAGCCACACUGGAACUGAGACACGGUCCAGACUCCUACGGGAGGCAGCAGUGGGGAAUUUUGGACAAUGGGGGCAACCCUGAUCCAGCAAUGCCGCGUGAGUGAAGAAGGCCUUCGGGUUGUAAAGCUCUUUUGUCAGGGAAGAAACGGUGAGGGCUAAUAUCCUUUGCUAAUGACGGUACCUGAAGAAUAAGCACCGGCUAACUACGUGCCAGCAGCCGCGGUAAUACGUAGGGUGCAAGCGUUAAUCGGAAUUACUGGGCGUAAAGCGUGCGCAGGCGGUUAUGUAAGUCAGAUGUGAAAUCCCCGGGCUCAACCUGGGAAUGGCAUUUGAGACUGCAUGGCUAGAGUGUGUCAGAGGGGGGUAGAAUUCCACGUGUAGCAGUGAAAUGCGUAGAGAUGUGGAGGAAUACCGAUGGCGAAGGCAGCCCCCUGGGAUAACACUGACGCUCAUGCACGAAAGCGUGGGGAGCAAACAGGAUUAGAUACCCUGGUAGUCCACGCCCUAAACGAUAAUGCUAGUUGUCGGGGCUUAAUUGUUUUUGUAAAGCAGAUAACAAGUGAAGUAGACCGCCUGGGGAGUACGGUCGCAAGAAUUAAAACUCAAAGGAAAUGACGGGGACCCGCGCAAGCGGUGGAUGAUGUGGAUUAAUUUGAUGCAACGCGAAAAAACCUUACCUACCCCUGACACGUACGGAACCUCUGAGAGAUUAGAGGGUGCUCGAAAGAGAGCCGUAACACAGGUGCUGCAUGGCUGUCGUCAGCUCGUGUCGUGAGAUGUUGGGUUAAGUCCCGCAACGAGCGCAACCCCCGUCAUUAGUUGUUACGAAAGGGCACUCUAAUGAGACUGCCGGUGACAAACCGGAGGAAGGUGGGGAGGACGUCAAGUCCUCAUGGCCCCUAUGGGUAGGGCUUCACACGUCAUACAAUGGUACAUACAGAGGGCCGCCAACCCGCGAGGGGGAGGUAAUCCCAGAAAGAGUAUCGUAGUCCGGAUUGUAGUCUGCAACUCGACUACAUGAAGUUGGAAUCGCUAGUAAUCGCGGAUCAGCAUGUCGCGCCGAAAAAGUUCCCGGGUCUUG
rnacentral:rRNA from 1 species